CGAGGAGGUGAGCAGCCCUCGGGAAAGCGGCCUUUCUGUAGGAACAGAUAACCGUAGCCAGUUCUGAGAGCUCAAGGCUUUGUUAUUUUACAAAGCAAACACUUGACUUGUGCGAUGGAACUGAGCUACAAAUGAGGGAGAGUGGUGUUGACUGGAUACUCAGGUUGCCAGGGUGGCCAUACCAUGGCACAGACUGUUUUCUCCAGAUGAGCCGAACGCAGAAAGACAGAGGGAGAAAAAACUAAACAAAGUGAAUAAGCAAACAACAACAAAACUCUUACCUUACAUUAACAAGACUUGCAUUCGUGAUUAGAAUUAUAAAUCUGACUGAAGUGCCAGCUGGGUCCCAAAGCUGCCAGCGACUCUAAGCAGAGAGGAGCUCAUGUCACCAUCGUCCUGUUUAACAUCUGAACAUUUUAUUCGAAACAAUUUAAGAAUAUAUAUGUAUAUUUAAAAUUACUGACUUUUACCCUAAUAGGGCACUUUUUAAAUGAUAUCCAUGGCGGAAUUGGAGGUAUAUUUUACAACCAAAUGUAUUUGAACAGUCGUCAAGCUUAAAUGAAGAACUAAAACAUUUAUUCAUCAUUAGAAAAUGUCUAUAUUUGCAAAUUAAUAUACAUCAUUUCUUAAGAUAAUGACUCAAUCAGUGUAUGUUUUUUAAGGAUAAUAUGACUCAUUUCCAGAUAGA